ensembl:lncRNA
UUUUGGGAAACCCCACGUGCUCCCCGUGUGCACGGACAUGAACUUCACGUGCGGUGGGGGGAAGCAGCGCUCUGAGGGGCCUGCCCCCCCCCACCGGCCUCCAUACGCAUCAUCGUAUGCUUCUCAUGUGAGCUGAUUACGCAUCCCCCCCCCCCCCCUCAUACUGACUGACUGACUGCACUCUUGUGUUCGCUGUGGAGAUUUUAAAAAUUGCAGUGUUGCCUCUGGGUUUAGUUUGUUUUUCUCUUGAUGAGGCCGAGUCGAUGUACAGUGUGUGGUGACAGUGUUGAUGAUGUAAUUGGCAAAAAAAAAAAAUCCUGGGCUUUAUUAAUCUUAAAAUGAACACUUAGACUUUUGCAACAUUUUCAACGGUGAGCAUUUUAUGCAAGAAAACAAAUCUCGCUGUAACAUUCCAUGUCAUCUUUUGCCAGCCAUCUGAGAAGGGAUGUACUUGUCUGUAUAAAAUAAAUGGGACAAUUCUAUGAUCAGCUCUGUGCUCCCAGUGUGCUCUGUUACAACGCGUGGCGAAGGGGGGGGACAUGGGACACCUUGUUACGUGGAUGUCCGAUGGAGUCCACAAAAGACCCGGUGGGCACUUGAUCCUCUGCAGAGCCGCGCUGGAUGGGCCAACAUGUACCAGGAUGCAUUGGGGCGAUCUCACAACGUCUGACAAGGAAACAAAAUGAACUUGAAGGAAAUAUUCUUACACUGUUACCUAAAUACAACUGUAGACCUUUUUAGAAUCUUAGAAUUAUUAAACUCACAGCUCUGAAACAAAACACACAUUUUGCUCAGAUAAAUCCAUAAUUCCCAGUAAGAUGAGAGCGAACGCGGCUCGUUGGAGGCUAAAUUAGACAAAGUAACAAAUCGCCUGGGCCUCCGCUGUGAUCUCGAGUAAGGUCUCUAACGACACCGCUGUCCAAGUGAGGAGCGAAACGUCCAUGCAGACGGCGUCCCACAAAACGCCCCCCCCCCCCCCUUCUGAGCAUCCAUGCAGCGGCUCCAGCAGAAAACAAAUGUUUCUCCAACUGCUGUGGCCGGUCGGUGAUGUAAGUUUAAAUUGCAAUUUUGCUGACGAAGCCGACAAUGGGCCGGUGGGAAUCGCCGCCUACUUGUCCACGUGCCGCUCUGCGUGUGUCGCCCCGGUCUGACAGCAGGACACUUCCCCUUGUGGAGUGUGCAGCCUGCCAAGUGUGGAGUGUGCAGCCUGCCAAGUGUGGAGUGUGCAGCCUGCCAAGUCUGAAUUGGCAGGUUUGCAACUCGUGUGACGAAUAAAUGUUCUGCGUGAAAGAAACACUCAUGAAAACAAAUGGAUUCAUAUAUUGUCCUGUUGUGUCAAGGCCUUUAAUAAACCCAGCGAAGACUUCAUUCUUUCUAAGUGUUUGCUGCAUUUUGAUCAUUUACAAUGUGGUUACCAUAUAAAGUCCCGAGUUAUUUAAUGAACCGCUAAUAUAUAAUUACCACAUAUUCUGAAAAGUGUUUAUUUUGGUUUGGUUCGGUUCCAUCGUUGGGUUCGACUGGUUUGAACAUCGACGGUCAGGCGGGUUUUGUCCAGUAAGUUAUGCGGGGGGAGGAAGAGGAGGGGGGAGAGCGGGGGACCAGGUCUGCUCGGGCGGGGUUUCCCUUCUUAUUUGCAGGCUGCACAGAACGAGGUGCGGCGCGGAGGAGGACGGACCGGCUCGGCUCGGCUCGGCUCGGCUCCAUCACCCGGCUCGUGCCCACGCACUGGCUGAGGUAGUAGUUUGUGCUGUUGGGUCGUGACGCCGCCCGCUAUGGAGAUGACUGCGCAAGCUACUGCCUUGCCGGUGCUGGUGCCUCCGCUUCGGGACUAAAGCGAGGACACGCGGCCGCGCUCCCGACGCGGUUGUCCGGUUCGAGCAGGUAACGCGCGCCGCCGUCAGACGAGUGAAAUCGCUCCUGUGUCACUUGUUUGAUCCAAUAAAAUAAAUGAUUGUGGAGGGAAAAAAAACCUUUUUGUGUCCAGUUUUGAUUUAAUUAACAAUGACAUGUUUGAUUUGAAUUAGUACCAUAUUGCAUUUUUUUCCAUUUUUCACAGAAUGUGCCGUUAGUUGAAAAGCUUGCAUGUAUUUGCGGGAUAUCCGACACUCCCGUUUGUGUCAUUUGCAUGCACAUCUUCUAAAACGCACGAGGAAGUCGACAUCUCCGGUUUUCCCACCAGCUUGUGGGCGGAAACGUGCAGGUCAACGAGGAGACGAGGGACGCGGCUCCGAUCCAGCGGAGCGGAUCGCGCUUCCUCCUCCUGCACCCGGACGCAUUUAAAUAAUAAUUCCAUUAUUAUGCUAAAUGUGCUUGUUGCGUAUGUUAGGGGCUGCCACAUGACCCCCCCAGGCCUUUUAGCAGUGGUGUCCGAGAGCCCUGAUGUGGGUCACAUGGGACCUCCUCCCAUCAGCAUCUGGUUGCUCUGUAUCAAAUGGCUAGGGGUCAUGAUGGUGAUGGGCGGGGUCAGCUGGAAUGAUGGACAGAUGACUGGCGCCUUCGUUUGACCUCCUGAGAACACGGCCAUAAAUGAAUGAGUUCUGAAUCUGCCCACAAGCAUCUGUGCUGAUAUAAAACCAUUUAAAACAAGAGUUUGACUUCUGUGAUAACCGGAGGUCGAAAGCAGUGUUUUGCUUUAGCAGAAGCGCUAAAGUACUACGCACACGUGAUACUACUGCUUAUUGUAGCACUACAGGUCUUCCUACUGUAUAAAUAAGAGUAAAAAAUGAAGAAAAUCAAGUAACCCCCCCCCCAAAUAAUUUAUUAUAGCAAGUGUAAAGCGAGCCGGUUUACGAGCCAGUGAGCAGCUCACCAGCAGACCUUGUCCUCAUCCAUCUUGUGCCGGCCUGCACAUAAAUCACGCUUUAGGGCCCAAACACUAAAGCGGUUCAUUUGACUCCUCCCUGUGGAACGUGCCUGCUCAGAUGGUUCUCACAGCUGAAGCAGCCUCAUCCUGACUGGACUGUCGACUGGAUCAUUGUAGUGUUUGGGAUUUUAACUUUUAGAAGCUGUAUUUUUCAUCUCCCAGUUUAUGACGUUGUUGGUCUCACCAAUAGAAAUGCGUAUUGAAAC